rnacentral:rRNA from 1 species
AUUGAACGCUGGCGGCAGGCCUAACACAUGCAAGUCGAACGGCAGCGGGGAGUAGCUUGCUACUCUGCCGGCGAGUGGCGGACGGGUGAGUAAUGCCUGGGGAGCUGCCCAAUCGAGGGGGAUACCAGUUGGAAACGACUGCUAAUACCGCAUACGCCCUGAGGGGGAAAGGUGGGGAUCUUCGGACCUACCGCGAUUGGAUGCACCCAGGUGGGAUUAGCUAGUUGGUGAGGUAACGGCUCACCAAGGCGACGAUCUCUAGCUGGUCUGAGAGGAUGACCAGCCACACUGGAACUGAGACACGGUCCAGACUCCUACGGGAGGCAGCAGUGGGGAAUAUUGCACAAUGGGGGAAACCCUGAUGCAGCCAUGCCGCGUGUGUGAAGAAGGCCUC